AAAGUGUAUCAGAGGAGGUUGGGGGGAUGCUGAGGGGAGGGGAAAAGAAAAAAAAUCAAGGGGUGGGAAGCAAAUGGCUGCGGGGUAGAAGGGGAGUGGGCUGCCGCCUGGGUGUGUGGGCGUCAGGGGGAGACGGGACAGGAGAGUCAGGUCCUGCGCGCAGGGGCCCCUGCGCUCCCGCGGGACGCAGCUGUCUUUGUCUGGGGUGGCGGCAGCGUGGCAGGAGCAAGGGGGGCCCCGACCCGUCCCCUCCGCCCUCCAAGACCCCUGCGGACUCCAGCCCGUCCCUGUCUCACUCUAUUUAACAAAGAGCGGAGAGACUGUAAAUGACCCUGAGCAGCGUGGCGGCGAGCAGGGCCCCUGGGGCACCCCACAGGCGUCAUCCUAGCCGCAUGAGCGCCGAGCUCGGGCAACGGGUGGUUUGGCGUGCUUGUGCACUUGCUCCGUUUUCUCUAAACUGCCGCGAUGAAUGUCAGUCCCCAGAGCCGGAACCGUUCCCGGUUUUCUUCACUUGGAUCUGAGAACUCUGACCCUCCAGCCCGGCGAGCUCUUUGCCAGGGUGACAGGAGGAAAUGUCCCCGCAUCCGUGCCUGCUUUCCCAGAUGGGACCCUCCAGCAGUCCCCUCCACUGCCCUUGCUUCCUCUUAACCACUUCCCCCCAGCGACCGCGGAAGGCGCUUCCUCCUCCGCAGCGCGAGCCCCAAGCUCCUCUAGCGCCCCAGCUCUCCCCGCCCCCCUCCCGACCUUGUUUCAUAUUGACCCCUCCCCCGCACAUACUCAAUUUCAUCUUCCCAAGGCGCCCACUCUCCACAUCCUGAAGAGAAAAAGAGCCGGCUGCUGUCCUA